CGCGCAGGCGGCUUUGCAAGCCAGAGGUGAAAUGCCUGAGCUUAACUUAGGAAUUGCCUUUGGGACUGCGAGGCUUUGAGGACGGGAGAGGUGAGUGGAAUUCCCAGUGUAGAGGUGAAAUUCGUAGAUAUUGGGAAGAACACCGGUGGCGAAGGCGGCUCACUGGCCCGUUUCUGACGCUGUAGCGCGAAAGCGUGGGGAUCAAACAGGAUUAGAUACCCUGGUAGUCCACGCCGUAAACGAUGAGUGCUAGGCGUCGGCACGCUUGCGUGUCGGUGCCGCAGCUAACGCGUGAAGCACUCCGCCUGGGGAGUACGGUCGCAAGAUUAAA
rnacentral:rRNA from 1 species